rnacentral:rRNA from 1 species
GACGAACCGUGCGAACGUUAUUCGGAAUCACUGGGCUUAAAGCGCGUGUAGGCGGGACGGCACGUCGGCCGCUGAAAUCCCCCGGCUCAACCGGGGAAGGGGCGCCGAUACGACCGGCCUGGAGGGACGUAGGGGGGGCUGGAACUUCCGGUGGAGCGGUGAAAUGCGUUGAGAUCGGAAGGAACGCCCGUGGCGAAAGCGAGCCCCUGGACGUCUACUGACGCUGAGACGCGAAAGCCAGGGGAGCGAACGGG